GGCUCUGUAGUGAAAUUCAUGGUGAGUUGCAAGCUCAUUGAUGCGCAUUGAUCAUGUGCCGGAGUCUAU
rnacentral:tRNA from 1 species